rnacentral:lncRNA from 1 species
CUCGCAAUGAGGGCUCAUCAGUAGUGGUGAUACCAGGGACAUGCUGCAAUGAUGUCACACACACUUCAACCAUGUCAACACGAAUGACCUCCCUUAGACCAACCUGCAAAAAAGUUUAUUCAAUUUUAUUAAUUAAGAAAACAUGUGAAAAGUCUAAUUAAAAAGGCAAAUAUAAGUGGGAAAGCGGAAGGAAACAACAUGAAGAAAGUCAAGACAAGUAGGCAGGCAAAGAAUGGAAAAACUGUCAGUAAAAGAAGAAUGUGGAGGAAGAGAUAGUUCACUAAUUUCCCCACAAGUGUUCUCCUGGUAGAGAAGCGACCAGGAGUGUGCUUUUAUUUGAGCUAUGAGAACAACGUUACAUUAUAACACAACCACUUCAGUAUAGACUGAAGAUUAACUAUCUUCAUCCUUUGCUAACUGUCCAUCGAGCACUAACUAUUAUAACCAAAAGCAUUGCAAUCGCAUGUCAAAUCAAUAUUAAUGUUCAAUGUUUUCAUUAUGUUCAAAUAUUACAAUGCGUCAACAUAGUGCAAGUCAGCAAUGCAGUUCUUAUUCAUAUAACAAAUGUUAUGCUACAAUGAAGACAGUGUAAGAAAACCAUUUUUAAAGGUAGUGAACAGUAGCACCUUUUGUGAGCAGAUACGACUGGACUAAUAAGUACUGAAUAUUCCAAUAUCUUGCACAAGUUAAACAAAAUUGUUGAGAAACAUUCCAUACACAGUACAGCAUUGUAAAACUUCCUAGGGUGUUAUUUGUAACCAAAAACACUAUAUUAUUCUGAAGUAUUAGGGACUGUAUAUAAAUUUUUUAGAGCACUGGAGCUUCAUUUAUGAACUUUUCCUAUCCUACCUGUUGCAUGAGGUAGAUGGUGAUGUGUGAGGAGACGCCAUCACUGGAACACAACCACAGGUACGUGUGGUGACGACCUGUUCCUGACAACCUACUUGGGCGUGAGAGCGUCACUGUGUAGCAGCACCCACAUUUAACCUGUGAAAGGAUUGUAGUGUUAAUUUUCAAACAUUAAAAUUUAAUUGAAUCAAAAAGAAAAAAAUAGAACUGCCCAAUACAGGAAUGCAUGCAUUAUCUGUGGAUGAGAAGAAGCUAUAAAAAUUUUAAGUUGUAUUCCAAUCCUUGACAUAUACAGGGACAAGAAAAUAAUAUCAGAGAGAGUUAACUGAAAUUUUUCUCAAACUUCAAAAACAAAAUUAAUUUGUCUGGGGUAAAUAUGUAUUACUUUGCUAAAAUAAUGUUAUCACUUGCAUAUAUAAAUAUUUUAACUUGCUCCAAUUGCUCAGACUUCUAUAUUAGGUUUACAUCUUCCUCUAACAGUCCUACCUUGAUCUCACGUCACCAAGAUGACGUCACAUAAUCAUGGCAUACACCUAAAGUAAUAUCAAGUCCUACACAUGCACUACGAGCUACAUCACAAGUAUUUUAUAACAUUUCGCAAAACUCUGCUAACCCCAUACUUGUACAUGACCAUCACACCAAAAGUCCUCCAUUAAUUAACUUGGAUACUGUAUAUACUUUUUAAUUCCAAUUAAUUAAAUCGUGUCAAUACAAGUAUAAUAAAAAUACAAUAUGUAAUAAAUAAUAAAAUAAU